CUCCUAUCAAUUUACCUACCUACCUUCUCUUCUUUAUAUUCUAUGAGAAUAAUCCCUGUUUGACUUCACAGUAGUUGUGAUAACAAGAACAUCUCGGCUGAGGAUCCGCUGGUUUGCACAGAGUGGCUCAUAGUGCUGUCUCAUGCUUACUGGAACCAACCUAGAACACUGGGAUCCUACAGGGACAACUGAGGAAACCUCAUCGUGUGGCAUGCAGGCAACGCAAGCCUGUUCACAGUCCAAUGCAAUGCCAGCAAGACUGAAUGGGAGUUUUUGUUAUGCCUGAGGACUCUUUCACCACUUCUGGCCUGGCAGUAUCUGCCAAACAGGCUAGGAAGAAGUGGACCAACUUAAAACAGAAAUAAAAGAGUGAUGGAAGCCUCGUCGGUAGAGAAAUCUAUCAGGCAGCGCUGAGAAUAAGCUCUGCAAACUACAGAAGAGACCUCGAAAGCAUAAA
ensembl:lncRNA